UCCCCACUCUCCCUCUCUCUUGCCGUCCACCCUUGUGCUCCCUCUCCACUAUUUUUGUCAAGCUUUCAAGCUUGAUUUUCCAAGCUUCCACACACCAAAACUCAUAGCUCCCUUUACAAAAAUUACUCCCUACACCCUAAGGAAGCUUUAGAUACCCAUUUGAAGAAGAGAAAUUGAAGUUUGGUAAGACCCCCAAAAUGGUACUGAAGAUCAGCAGCCGCCACAGUAGUAUUCGGACAGAGUUCCGACCAGAUCUGCCACCGAUCAGAGUCACCUCACCAGUCUUUUGUAUUUUGGUAGGGCCCAUGUAUAGACUAGUAUUUUGGUUCAUUAUGUUUAGUCAUGAUGUAUUUCAUUUUAGACCUGUAAUUAAACUUUGAGAUUGAAAUGAAAACUUGUAAUUUAUUAUC